GACGAACGCUGGCGGCGUGCUUAACACAUGCAAGUCGAACGGAAAGGCCUGCUUUCCCUUGUGGAUUGCGGGUACUCGAGUGGCGAACGGGUGAGUAACACGUGAGUGAUCUGCCCCCAACUUGGGUAUAAGCCUGGGAAACUGGGUCUAAUUCCCGAUAGGACUGCAGGGUGGUGCCUGUGGUGGAAAACGAUUUUCUAGUGGUUGGGGAUGAGCUCGCGGCCUAUCAGCUUGUUGGUGGGGUAAUGGCCUACCAAGGCGGCGACGGGUAGCCGGCCUGAGAGGGUGGACGGCCACAUUGGGACUGGGAUACGGCCCAGACUCCUACGAGAGGCAGCAGUUGGGAAUAUUGCACAAUGGGCGGAAGCCUGAUGCAGCGACGCCGCGUGGGGGAUGACGGCCUUCGGGUUGUAAACUCCUUUCGACCGCGAGGAAGCCACCUGGUUGGAAGGGUGGUGACGGUAGUGGUAGAAGAAGCACCGGCUAACUACGUG
rnacentral:rRNA from 1 species